rnacentral:rRNA from 1 species
CAAUAGCGUAUAUUAAAGUUGUUGCGGUAAAAAAGCUCGUAGUUGGAUUUCUGUUGAGAGCGACCGGUCCAUACCAUGUAUGCGUAUCUGGCUUGCUCUCGGCAUCCUCUCGAUAGACGUUACUGCGCUUGAUUGCGUGGUGCGGAUCUCGGGACCUUUACUUUGAGGAAAUUAGAGUGUUCACGGCAGGCUUUCGCCAGAAUACAUUAGCAUGGAAUAAUACUAUAGGAUCUUGGUUCUAUUUUGUUGGUUUCUAGAAUUGAGAUAAUGAUUAAUAGGGACGAUUGGGGGCAUUCGUAUCAACACGUCAGAGGUGGAAUUCUUGGAUUGUGUUGCGACGAACUACUGCGAAGGCAUUUGCCAAGGAUGUUUUCAUUGA